CCCUAUGGGGUGCAGCAGUUACGAAAACUUUACAAUGCACGAAAGUGUGAUAAGGGGAUUCCUAGUGCUCAUACUUUGUAUGGGCUUUUGUCGAGUGUAAAAAGCUCGGCGAAUAAGUGAUGGGUAAGACCGGUGCCAGCCGCCGCGGUAACACCGGCGUCACGAGUGGCAAUCAUGAUUAUUGGGCCUAAAGCGUCCGUAGCCGGUUUGAUAAGUUUCUUGUGAAAUUGUUUGGCUCAACCAAACAGCGUGCAAGAAAGACUGUCAGACUUGAAACCGGGAGGAGCUAGAGGUAUUCCAGGGGGAGCGGUAGAAUGCUAUAAUCCCUGGAGGACCACCUAUGGCGAAGGCUUCUAGCUAGAACGGAUUUGACGGUGAGGGACGAAAGCCAGGGGAGCGAUCCGGAUUAGAUACCCGAGUAGUCCUGGCUGUAAACGCUGCGAGCUAGGUGGUGCAUGUUCUUAGUGGACAUGCGGCGCCUGAGUGAAGACGUUAAGCUCGCCGCCUGGGAAGUAUGGCCGCAAGACUGAAACUUAAAGGAAUUGGCGGGGGCUCACUACAAGGAGUGCGGCGUGCGGUUUAAUUGGAUUAUACGCCGGAAAUCUCACCAGGAGCGACGGCAGGAUGAAGGUCAGAUUAAAGGUUUUACCUGACAAGCCGAGAAGAAGUGCAUGGCC
rnacentral:rRNA from 1 species